rnacentral:rRNA from 1 species
UACGGAGGGUGCAAGCGUUGUCCGGAUUUAUUGGGUUUAAAGGGUGCGUAGGCGGUCUUUUAAGUUCAGCGGUGAAAUCCUCCCAGCUUAACUGGAGAACUGCCAUUGAUACUGGAAGACUUGGAGUAACAGACGAGGUAGGCGGAAUUGACAGUGUAGCGGUGAAAUGCAUAGAUAUUGUCAAGAACACCCGGAUUGCGAAGGCAGCUUACUAGACUGAUAACUGGACGCUGAAGGCA